rnacentral:rRNA from 1 species
UACGGGGGGGGCAAGCGUUGUUCGGAAUUACUGGGCGUAAAGGGCUCGUAGGCGGCCAACUAAGUCAGACGUGAAAUCCCUCGGCUUAACCGGGGAACUGCGUCUGAUACUGGAUGGCUUGAGUGUGGGAGAGGGAUGCGGAAUUCCUGGUGUAGCGGUGAAAUGCGCAGAUAUCAGGAGGAACACCGGUGGCGAAGGCGGGUCUCUGGGCCGAAAUUGACGCUGAGGAGCGAAAGCGUGGGGAGCAAACAGG